rnacentral:lncRNA from 1 species
GCGACAACAAAGCUAGCUUCGGAGUUUUCUCUCUUCCGCUGAAAAAACGAAGAAGAUCGGUCUAGCUUUUGUCCUGUGUGUUUUGUUGGCGGAGGGAAUAGCUGCAGAUGGCCAUGGUACAUGUGCCAGUUCACCUGAUUGUCAGCUUUUCCCAAACCAAGACACAGGCUUGGUCACACUUCAAGACCUGUCACAGAACGUUGAGGGGCAACAUUGGAUAAUGCUUUAUUACACGGAAUUUUCUGACAAACAAAUCAUCGGAAAAUGUAACUUUAGAUGGAACGCUCCAGAUUCAGAACAGAACAUUAGAAGGGAGUUAAUGUGCUAGUAAG